GAUUAAGCCAACACAAAUAUCUAUAUAUCGUCGAAAUAAGGUCGACAGUCUCUACCCGGUACCGUAAAUACCGGACUAUAGGUGAAUGAACGUUAAGA
rfam:Lactobacillus crispatus ST1 complete genome, strain ST1